rnacentral:rRNA from 1 species
ACACAUGCAAGUCGAACGGUAGCACAGAGAGCUUGCUCUCGGGUGACGAGUGGCGGACGGGUGAGUAAUGUCUGGGAAACUGCCUGAUGGAGGGGGAUAACUACUGGAAACGGUAGCUAAUACCGCGUAACGUCGCAAGACCAAAGAGGGGGACCUUCGGGCCUCUUGCCAUCAGAUGUGCCCAGAUGGGAUUAGCUAGUAGGUGGGGUAACGGCUCACCUAGGCGACGAUCCCUAGCUGGUCUGAGAGGAUGACCAGCCACACUGGAACUGAGACACGGUCCAGACUCCUACGGGAGGCAGCAGUGGGGAAUAUUGCACAAUGGGCGCAAGCCUGAUGCAGCCAUGCCGCGUGUAUGAAGAAGGCCUUCGGGUUGUAAAGUACUUUCAGCGGGGAGGAAGGUGUUGUGGUUAAUAACCACAGCAAUUGACGUUACCCGCAGAAGAAGCACCGGCUAACUCCGUGCCAGCAGCCGCGGUAAUACGGAGGGUGCAAGCGUUAAUCGGAAUUACUGGGCGUAAAGCGCACGCAGGCGGUCUGUCAAGUCGGAUGUGAAAUCCCCGAGCUUAACUUGGGAAUUGCAUUCGAUACUGGUGAGCUAGAGUAUGGGAGAGGAUGGUAGAAUUCCAGGUGUAGCGGUGAAAUGCGUAGAGAUCUGGAGGAAUACCGAUGGCGAAGGCAGCCAUCUGGCCUAAUACUGACG